GUGAUGACGAGGCACUACGGUGCUGAAGCAACAAAUGCCCUGCUUCCAGGAAAAGCCUCUAAGCAUCAGGUAACAUCAAAUCGUACCCCAAACCGACACAGGUGGUCAGGUAGAGAAUACCAAGGCGCUUGAGAGAACUCGGGUGAAGGAACUAGGCAAAAUGGUGCCGUAACUUCGGGAGAAGGCACGCUGAUAUGUAGGUGAAGUCCCUCGCGGAUGGAGCUGAAAUCAGUCGAAGAUACCAGCUGGCUGCAACUGUUUAUUAAAAACACAGCACUGUGCAAACACGAAAGUGGACGUAUACGGUGUGACGCCUGCCCGGUGCCGGAAGGUUAAUUGAUGGGGUCAGCGCAAGCGAAGCUCUUGAUCGAAGCCCCGGUAAACGGCGGCCGUAACUAUAACGGUCCUAAGGUAGCGAAAUUCCUUGUCGGGUAAGUUCCGACCUGCACGAAUGGCGUAAUGAUGGCCAGGCUGUCUCCACCCGAGACUCAGUGAAAUUGAACUCGCUGUGAAGAUGCAGUGUACCCGCGGCAAGACGGAAAGACCCCGUGAACCUUUACUAUAGCUUGACACUGAACAUUGAGCCUUGAUGUGUAGGAUAGGUGGGAGGCUUAGAAGUGUGGACGCCAGUCUGCAUGGAGCCGACCUUGAAAUACCACCCUUUAAUGUUUGAUGUUCUAACGUUGACCCGUAAUCCGGGUUGCGGACAGUGUCUGGUGGGUAGUUUGACUGGGGCGGUCUCCUCCUAAAGAGUAACGGAGGAGCACGAAGGUUGGCUAAUCCUGGUCGGACAUCAGGAGGUUAGUGCAAUGGCAUAAGCCAGCUUGACUGCGAGCGUGACGGCGCGAGCAGGUGCGAAAGCAGGUCAUAGUGAUCCGGUGGUUCUGAAUGGAAGGGCCAUCGCUCAACGGAUAAAAGGUACUCCGGGGAUAACAGGCUGAUACCGCCCAAGAGUUCAUAUCGACGGCGGUGUUUGGCACCUCGAUGUCGGCUCAUCACAUCCUGGGGCUGAAGUAGGUCCCAAGGGUAUGGCUGUUCGCCAUUUAAAGUGGUACGCGAGCUGGGUUUAGAACGUCGUGAGACAGUUCGGUCCCUAUCUGCCGUGGGCGCUGGAGAACUGAGGGGGGCUGCUCCUAGUACGAGAGGACCGGAGUGGACGCAUCACUGGUGUUCGGGUUGUCAUGCCAAUGGCACUGCCCGGUAGCUAAAUGCGGAAGAGAUAAGUGCUGAAAGCAUCUAAGCACGAAACUUGCCCCGAGAUGAGUUCUCCCUGACUCCUUGAGAGUCCUGAAGGAACGUUGAAGACGACGACGUUGA
rnacentral:rRNA from 1 species